rnacentral:rRNA from 1 species
AUGCAGUCGCGCGGUCGCAAUGGCAGCGGCUGACGGGUGAGUAACUCGUACGAAUCUAUCCCAGGGUGGGGGACAACAGCGGGAAACUGCUGCUAAUACCGCAUGAUACCUGAAGGUUAAAGGCGCGAGUCACCUUGGGAGGAGCCUGCGUCUGAUUACCUUGUUGGUGGGGUAAGGGCCUACCAAAGCGACAAUCAUUAGCUGGUCUGAGAGGAUGAUCACCCACAUUGGUGACUGACACACAGCCCAUACUCCUACGGGAGGCAGCACUGGGCGCAAUAUUGCACAAUGGGCGCAAGCCUGAUCCAGCAAUGCCGCGUGUGUGAAGAAGGUCUUCAGAUUGUGAAGCACUUUUGGUAUGGACGAUGAUUACCGUACCUGCAUAAUAAGCCCCGGCUAACUUCGUGCCGGCAGCCGCGGUAAUACGAAGGGGGCUAGCGUUGAUCGGAAUGACUGGGCGUAAAGGGCGCGUAAGCGGCAUGUGCAGUCAGAAGUGAAAUUCGUGGGCUCAACCUGGGGACUGCUUUUGAUACGUGCAACCUAGAGUGAGGAAUAGGGUUGUGGAAUUUCCUGUGUAGAAGUGAAAUUCGUGCAUCUUGGAAAGAGCCCGGUGGCGAAAGUCGUUACCUGGUCCUUAACUGACGCUUACGCGCGAAGGCGUGUGCAGCUAACAGGAUUAAAUACCCUGAUAAUCCACGCUGUACACGAUGUGUGAUGCAUGUUGGGGAACUUAGUUUCUCAGUGUCUUAGCUCAUGCUAGAACCCACCGUCUGGGGAUACGGUCGCUUGAUGAAACUCUACGACUGACC